UUUGCAUUCAUACAUUUGCAUCAUGAGGUCUCUUAGGGACCAAAAUUUGUCUCAUUGUUCUUAUUUAAGCCCAUUCUACCGCGUCGAGACGAAGAUUUUAAUCUUCAUUUAUCCGGCUAGAAUGACCUUAAAUAGGGGCAUCUGUAAGACCCCAAUUUUGUCCCUAAGAUCCCUCAUGGUAUCAUACCAUAGCAUUGCAUAGCCUCAAGGAUCAUUGGACACCUUGAUU
rnacentral:lncRNA from 1 species